CAGUCGCCGCGGGAAUACGGAGGGUGCAAGCGUUAAUCGGAAUUACUGGGCGUAAAGCGUGCGCAGGCGGCUAUAUAAGACAGAUGUGAAAUCCCCGGGCUCAACCUGGGACCUGCAUUUGUGACUGUAUAGCUAGAGUACGGUAGAGGGGGAUGGAAUUCCGCGUGUAGCAGUGAAAUGCGUAGAUAUGCGGAGGAACACCGAUGGCGAAGGCAAUCCCCUGGACCUGUACUGACGCUCAUGCACGAAAGCGUGGUGAGCAAACAGGAUUAGAUACCCCAGUAGUCCCUGUCUCUUAUAC
rnacentral:rRNA from 1 species